AGGGCACCACCAGGAGUGGAGCCUGCGGCUUAAUUUGACUCAACACGGGAAAACUCACCCGGCCCGGACACUGUAAGGAUUGACAGACUGAGAGCUCUUUCUUAAUUCGGUGGGUGGUGGUGCAUGGCCGUUCUUAGUUGGUGGAGCGAUUUGUCUGGUUAAUUCCGAUAACGAACGAGACUCUGGCCUAUUAAAUAGACGGUGUAUCUUGAAGUAUACCGCGCUUCUUAGAGGGACAAGCGGCGUCUAGCCGCAUGAAAUAGAGCAAUAACAGGUCUGUGAUGCCCUUAGAUGUCCGGGGCUGCACGCGCGCUACACUGGAAGAAUCUGCGUGCGAUUGGCCUGGUUCGGAAGAAUCGGGUAACCCAAGUAAAUUCUUUCGUGCUUGGGAUAGGGAAUUGCAAUUAUUUCCCUUAAACGAGGAAUUCCCAGUAAAUGCGGGUCAUAAGCUCGCGUUGAUUACGUCCCUGCCCUUUGUACACACCGCCCGUCGCUACUACCGAUUGGAUGACUUAGUGA
rnacentral:rRNA from 1 species